rnacentral:lncRNA from 1 species
UUAGUGUACUUUACACUGUAUGAAAACAACUGGCUCAGCAGUCGAGCAUUUCCAAAGGUUUCUACAGUCCAAUUUGUAGCAUUGAAACUGCAUUUUUUAAUGCAAUUUCAAUGCCACAAAAUGUAUGCACACUGGAAAAAAUAAAAUACGAUUGAAAAGGGAAAACCUCUCGACCCCCGCCGGGAAGAGGAGACGAGGCCGGACCGCGGCGUCUCGGCAAAGACUCGACAGCGAGGCACAAAAGACGGGAUUUUGAGGCGUUUCGUCGACUGAGAUUUUAUCGCAUUUAUCGACAAAUACACGUGGAGCUGCACAAUAUACAAUUAUCGUUAUCGCAAGAAGCAACAAUAAAAGCUAAAUAAUUCAAGUCUUCCAUCUGCGAUUUACACUUUUUUUUUUCUUUUUUUUUACCAGUUACCAAUUUUUUUUUCUGAUUUAGCGAAAUUUCUGCCUUUCUUUGGUCUUGAUUUAGUAUUUUCCCAAGUCUUGCAAGACAUCGAAGUUAGUUAUUGAAUAUCACUUUUUCCCCAUAGUGUGCAGCCCCAAUGACAUGUGUAGUGACUGGAUUCUUUGGGAUAAUUCAAUCAAUUAAUUAGGUGAAAAAAGUCCCUAAAUAUCAAUCGUAACAUUUGAAAUUCCGAAGCCCUCAUGAGGCAAAAGCCUCCUGUUUAACUCAUUUUCAUUUUGAGAUCCAUUCAAAAAUCCGUGUUGUGCGAGUUCCAAGACGCCGUGGUCCGCCUCCAGUCAGAUUUAGAUUGAGACUUUGAAGUAAAAGAUCCCCCAGAGAAACCAACCUAAUCGCAACAGUAAACCACUUUCUCCAACGGGACGAUUCAUGAACGGGCUGGGCGAGGCGAGAAAUGACAAAGCCCGAUUCCACGCCAAGACAAAGAAAAAUGGCUAAAACUUUGAGGAGUAGAGCUUGAGAAGAGAACAUGGCGCUUUUUUUCUUGCAAUUUUGAAAUAUAUGUUCAAAAAUCUGGCAAUUCCAAAACACUUUUCUCCUCGACGCUCUCCCUCUUAUGCUAAACUCUUGAGGAGCGGAUUAAGCUUCUUUUGUUUUGGCUAAAACAGUGGCAAAGUUUGGCAUUGAUGUGGUCCUUGAACUGGUUUCAGAAAAGCCCACAAGUUGCCUAAAGAUUUCAACAUGCCAUGAUACUUAAUCUGUAAAAACACGUCAGUCCUUUGAUAAUGAUUUCGUUUGCAGGUUUUAACUUCAUUUUGUUAAACAACUUCAUCUUUUAUUCAAACUUGGUCCUGUCGUGAACCUAAAACCUUUGCAUUCCAAAGACUGAAUGGUGAAAUUAGUUUAAAAUGCUCCUGAGAAGACGAGGAUAACAAACAUUAUUUGGCCUGGUGUUAACUUUUCAAACAUAACACAUUUAUAGGACGUAAAGAACGUAAAUAUUUUUUGUGAUUUGUGAAUUGACUGAUUUCUAUUUCUAAGCUGAAGAUGGCAAAGUGCCGGAUGAAAUAGAACAGAAUCAAGGGCAAAUAAAUGUGUCUCGAGUUAAUCUUUCCACUCUCUUGAUUUCAUUGUAACCCGCAUCGCGUCAGGAGCAAAGAGUUCACAGGAGGAAACGUCCGUGGUGCUUUUGUCUUGAGGCUAACGGCUAGCACUAAACAAAUGAAAAUAGCACCGAGAUGAACCAGUGAAAAACCAAUGGUCCCGUCUUUAGUAUCAACAGCGUUUCUACAGGUGGCAGCGAGUCAUACUGAAUGCUUUUGAUGCCAUUUUAACACCUAAAUACUGUGUUUUCAAUGCCACAAAUGCAAACAAAUCUUGCUAUAUUUCAUUCUGUAAGACUGGUAAACAUUCACUCAAACGGGGGAAAUGUUGAUAUUCAAAACUAAAUUGGGAAACUUUUGAGUAGAAUUGCAGCUGAAUUGGUUUUAGAUUUAGAGCUUUUGUGUUUUUGACGUACGUCUGUAGUAAAAAUAGUUUAGUGUCAUUGCUGUGGGUUCUGUCUCUAAGGGAAAGCAGAAACACUGAUAGACUUUUUAAGUUGCAUCAUCUUUAUAGUAUCACCCUGUGCUCUAGAGCUAGGCGGCUCUCAUGGGCAACUCUACAUGUGGCAGCAGCACUGAAGACGACGCCUGCUCGUUCAGACUCCAUAAGACGGAACAA